rnacentral:rRNA from 1 species
UCUAUCAGAAGUCUUCUCUAGUACGAAAGGACCGAAAAGACAUAGCCAAUGCCCCAGCAAGCUAUCCCCACCAACUUAUGACCCAAACUUAAUAAUAAAAUAGUUCAACACUUAGCCUAAGAAAAAGGCA